GUCUGGGGCGGGAUGAACAUGGCGGCGCGUCGGGGGCCAGGGCUCUCAGGGCUCGCCAUUGCAGCUGGGAAUGCUCGUUUCGUGGGCUCCUGGGUCCCCGUCGAUUGGCAUCCAGCGAGCAGAGCGCAGGGCUGUGGGCCACAGAUUGAAGAUGCAUUCCAUGGUAUUGCCAACUGAAGCCUUUUCAUCGCUAUGGAGUAUCUGUCCAUGUCUUUAAGGCAUUCUGAAUUGGGAUCUCUCUUGGGGGCACACGCAUCACUCAGCUGAGAUGGAUUCCAGCGAAGUGGAUCCUGGGAGGUUGGUAGGACCUCUGAACUGGAGCCUCCCAUCUCCUGACCUCUCCAGAAUUCUGUAGGUCAUCCAGAGGACCCAAGACAUGGUGGUUACUAAUAGACUUCCCACACUACUUCUUCAUUCCACGUGGACUCCUUCACGGGCAGUGAGCAUCCCAGCUUCCCUUGAACUUCAUCUGGAUUUAAUGACAACAGGCUCAACUUUUCACUCACUUGUAUGACUAUGAGCAGUUUGACCAAGUUGAAGAAGAUGACUCGUUUGUAGUCUUCCUCAUCAGCUCAUUCCAUCUACUGGCUUUAAAAUCAUUUAGUACAGAGCUCACCGUCUAGGUGUUCAUCCAGUGUUUUGUUUGCUUAUCAUGCAGGAUCAUUUUAAAAGGAAAAGUAUGUGUGUAUGAGUUAGAGCUCUGAUCCCAGGAGUCCAUGUAGAAGCUUCCCCUGAGAAAUGGAUCGUUUUUGCACCAAUGCUACUGAAAUGUGUGAAUGUGGUAUACCACGCGUCCCAAUAAGUGUAAACAGCGUCAUAGGCUACUUAUUUGAAAUGACCAGUACUCAUGACAUUCCAUUCAACUGAGGACUAAAUAUAGCCAACGUAGGCUGUGUUUGCCAAAUAGACUUUGAAGUAUUCUUCACACAGUCCUUCAUCGAUGCCAGUUUUCAGAUCGAAGAAACCCUUGCUCCAUGAAGUUUGUGAACACAUAUACUCAUGUUUUGUUUGAGAUUUUAAAGUCAUUCUUCAGUUUUGUUGGAGGAAUGGUUCUGUAUAUGCCCCGUGGAUCCCCAAAUCCACUGAUGUUCAUGUGUCUUGGGGCUUCCCAGGUGGUUCUAGUGGUAAAGAACAUGCAGAACAUACCCAUGCAGGAGACAUGGGAGGUAUGGAUUCCAUCCCUGGGGCAGGAAGAUCUCCUGAGGGAGAGCAUGGCAACCCCCUCCAGUAUCUUUGCCUAGAGAAUCUCAUGGAGAGAGGAGCCUGGUGGGGCCUAGUCCAUAUGAUCCCAAGGAGUUGGACACAAUGUAAGUGACUUCGCACAGCACAUGAUUCGUUGUCAUAGCUAAUAUAAUGGAGAUGACAUAAAAAGAAGCACCAGCGGGCGAAAGUCAAUAUCCAUCACUUUUAAACUUUGGAAUGUAUUGUGAUAUUUUACAUCCAUAUUUGUAUGACUUGAUAGUUGGAGAAUCGAUGCAUGUGAAGGCCUGGUUGUGUUAUAUGUAUGUUGAGGGAAGAUAUAUUUUUAUGUGGUUUGACAUAUAGGUCCCAUUUCAUUCGUAGACAUAUGCAUACUCAUCACUUAUCAUCAUUUUUUUUUUUUUUAAAGACCAUUGUUUGGAAAGGUUGUUGUCUAACCAUGAAAGAUGCUU
rnacentral:lncRNA from 1 species